AACGAACGCUGGCGGCAGGCUUAACACAUGCAAGUCGAACGCCCCGCAAGGGGAGUGGCAGACGGGUGAGUAACGCGUGGGAAUCUACCCAAUUCUACGGAAUAACCCAGGGAAACUUGGACUAAUACCGUAUACGCCCUACGGGGGAAAGAUUUAUCGGAAUUGGAUGAGCCCGCGUAAGAUUAGCUAGUUGGUGGGGUAAUGGCCUACCAAGGCGACGAUCUUUAGCUGGUCUUAGAGGAUGAUCAGCCACACGGGGACUGAGACACGGCCCAGACUCCUACGGGAGGCAGCAGUGGGGAAUAUUGGACAAUGGGCGCAAGCCUGAUCCAGCCAUGCCGCGUGAGUGAUGAAGGCCUUAGGGUUGUAAAGCUCUUUCAGUGGGGAAGAUAAUGACGGUACCCACAGAAGAAGCCCCGGCUAACUUCGUGCCAUCCGCCGCCGUAA
rnacentral:rRNA from 1 species